GCCAUGCGUUAUGUGAGCUGUAAGGACUGAAGUCGUGGAGAGGAAAGCCUGAGGUUUGCAAAUACACAAAGUAUUUACCAUACUUACCACUGUUGGAAAAGUGACGUAAGGAAAGUUAUGUGCAGACUACUGCUUUGAUAUCAAGAUUUAGUACAUAGCACUGGUUCGUUUCAUCUUUUUCAUUAAGCUUUUGGAGCUUUACCUCUUGUGAUAUAUGCAAAGGCAAGGUAGUCGAGCAAUUGUGUCCCCUUGUGUCAGGUCCUCAAGGCAGAUUACACACUCUCCCUUGUCUUCGGUUAGGACGUCAUCUAGAAUGGAGAUACUAUGCUUAGGUCAAAUGCAUACAACUUUCACACAUUGGUUGCCAAGUCCACGUCCUGAAAGAUCGCCAGAGCACCCUGAG